rnacentral:rRNA from 1 species
GAGUGUCAUUGUACUCUCACGCUCUCUAAUUCGGAUUCGCGUUCGGAUUGGGAGUGGUGGACUUGGGUGUUGCCGCUUCGCUGUGGCUCACCUCAAAUGUGUUAGUGCAACUGUUGAUUAGACAUAGUACGGCGUGAUAAGUGUCUUCGCCGGCACCUCACAAGAGGGUGGCUAAUCGGGAGCUCUGUGCUUCAAACUGUCUCUGGACAAUCUCUGACAACUUGACCUCAAAUCGAGUAGGACUACCCGCUGAACUUAAGCAUAUCAAUAAGCGGAGGAAAAGAAACUAACAAGGAUUCCCCUAGUAACGGCGAGUGAAGAGGGAAGAGCUCAAAUUUUAAAUCUGGCACCUUUGGUGUCCGAAUUGUAAUCUAGAGAAGUGUUUUCCGUGGCGGACCGUGCACAAGUCUCCUGGAAUGGAGCGUCAUAGAGGGUGAGAAUCCCGUAUAUGGCACGGACUCCCGUUACUCUGUGAUACACUCUCAACGAGUCGAGUUGUUUGGGAAUGCAGCUCCAAUUGGGUGGUAAAUGCCAUCUAAAGCUAAAUAUUGGCGAGAGACCGAUAGCGAACAAGUACCGUGAGGGAAAGAUGAAAAGCACUUUGGAAAGAGAGUGAAACAGUACGUGAAAUUGUUGAAAGGGAAACGCUUGAAGUCAGUCGUGCUCUUCAGGAUUCAGCCUUGCUUCUGCUUGGUUUACUUCCUGUUGGGUGGGUCAACGUCAGUUUCGAUCGGAGGAGAAAGGCUUGGGGAAGGUGGCAGCAUUCGUGCUGUGUUAUAGCCCCUUGUUGUAUACUUCGAUUGGGACUGAGGACUGCAGCACGCCUUACGGCCGGGGUUCGCCCACGUACGUGCUUAGGAUGUUGGCAUAAUGGCUUUAAGCGACCCGUCU